AAGGGGGCAAGACAACCCGCUAGACUUAAGCAUAUUAAUCAGCGGAGGAAAAGAAACUAACAAGGAUUCCCCCAGUAACUGCGAGUGAAGAGGGAUUAGCUCAACGUGUGAAUCUGACGAGGUCUAACACCUUGUUCGACUUGUGCACUAUUGACACUGGCUCAGCGUAUGAAUGCUAAAGGUGGAUGUCCGAUGAAACACGGCACCAUAGCGGGUCACAGUCCUAUAUAUGCCUAUUGGCAUUUACGCAUAUGAACAGUGCUCAUCGAGUCGUGUAGUUUUGUAUUGCUGCACAAAUUGGGAGGUAGAGCCCUUCUAAAGCUAAAUAUUAUGGCAUGACCGAUAGCAAACAAGUACCGUGAGGGAAAGGUGAAAAGCAACCAUGCAGAAUGGGUUGAAAGAGCAGUGAAAGUGCUACCGGGAUAAGGGCUAGUGAUUGCAAGUGCAGAUUGCAUGUGCUUCAGUGCUAUGCUAACUGCCAUCAUGCAUCGAUUGGGUUGGGGAGAACAGGUCAGUGGAGAUUCAGCUCGAUCCAGAGUGUUGUAAUCCACCAGACAAUGGAGC
rnacentral:rRNA from 1 species